rfam:Pan troglodytes isolate Yerkes chimp pedigree #C0471 (Clint) chromosome 7, whole genome shotgun sequence.
CUGUCUCUUGCGUCAAUAGUGUUUGGACAGAACAG